CCUACGGGGGGCAGCAGUGAGGAAUAUUGGUCAAUGGCCGGAAGGCUGAACCAGCCAUGCCGCGUGAAGGUCAGUGCCCUAUGGGCGUUAAACUUCUUUUGUGCGGGAGCAAUAAUGGUCACGUGUGGCCAGACGAGAGUACCGUACGAAUAAGCAUCGGCUAACUCCGGGCCAGCAGCCGCGGUAAUACGGGGGAUGCAAGCGUUAUCCGGGUUUAUGGGGGUUAAAGGGUGCGUAGGCUGUGAGGUAAGUCAGCGGUGAAAUGCCCCCGCUCAACGGGGUGAAGUGCCAUUGAUACUGCCUUGCUGGAAUGCGGAUGCGGUGGGAAGAAUGUGUGGUGUAGCGGUGAAAUGCAUAGAUAUCACACAGAACACCGAUUGCGAAGGCAUCUCACGAAUCCGCGAUUGACGCUGAUGCACGAAAGCGUGGGUAUCAAACAGGAUUAGAUACCCGGGUAGUC
rnacentral:rRNA from 1 species